rnacentral:rRNA from 1 species
AUACGUAGGGGGCGAGCGUUGUCCGGAAUGAUUGGGCGUAAAGGGCGCGUAGGCGGCCCGGUAAGUCUGGAGUGAAAGUCCUGUUUUUAAGAUGGGAAUUGCUUUGGAUACUGUCGGGCUUGAGUGCAGGAGAGGUAAGUGGAAUUCCCAGUGUAGCGGUGAAAUGCGUAGAGAUUGGGAGGAACACCAGUGGCGAAGACGACUUACUGGACUGUAACUGACGCUGAGGCGCGAAAGUGUGGGGAGCAAACAGGAUUAGAUACCCUGGUAGUCCACACUGUAAACGAUGAAUGCUAGUUGUAGGGGGUAUCGACCCCUUCUGUGCCGCAGUCAACACAAUAAGCAUUCCGCCUGGGGAGUACGGCCGCAAGGUUGAAACUCAAAUGAAUUGACGGGG